UACGAGAGGCCCAAACGUUAUUCGGAGUUACUGGGCGUAAAGCGUGCGUAGGCGGUGGUCCAAGUCUGGUGUGAAAUCUCCCGGCUCAACUGGGAGGGUGCGCCGGAAACUGGGCCGCUGGAGUAUGGGAGAGGCAAGCGGAAUUCCAGGUGUAGCGGUGAAAUGCGUAGAUAUCUGGAGGAACACCCGUGGUGCAGACGGCUUGCUGGACCAUGACUGACGCUGAGGCACGAAAGCGUGGGUAGCAAACAGG
rnacentral:rRNA from 1 species